rnacentral:rRNA from 1 species
GAUGAACGCUGGCGGCGUGCCUAAUACAUGCAAGUCGAGCGAACAGACGAGGAGCUUGCUCCUCUGACGUUAGCGGCGGACGGGUGAGUAACACGUGGAUAACCUACCUAUAAGACUGGGAUAACUUCGGGAAACCGGAGCUAAUACCGGAUAAUAUAUUGAACCGCAUGGUUCAAUAGUGAAAGACGGUUUUGCUGUCACCUAUAGAUGGAUCCGCGCCGCAUUAGCUAGUUGGUAAGGUAACGGCUUACCAAGGCAACGAUGCGUAGCCGACCUGAGAGGGUGAUCGGCCACACUGGGACUGAGACACGGUCCAGACUCCUACGGGAGGCAGCAGUAGGGAAUCUUCCGCAAUGGGCGAAAGCCUGACGGAGCAACGCCGCGUGAGUGAUGAAGGUCUUCGGAUCGUAAAACUCUGUUAUUAGGGAAGAACAAAUGUGUAAGUAACUAUGGACGUCUUGACGGUACCUAAUCAGAAAGCCACGGCUAACUACGUG